CAGGCGUGUGUAUUUUAUUUUAUUUUAUUAAUUGUUUUAGGCCCAAAGCCAAGGAUCUGCCAAACAGGAAACAUAAUCCUUGGUGUGUAUCACAUAGAAGAAAUUCAAAUCGAAAUCAUUCCAUCACUUUUCUAAGUGACAUAUCCUCUUUUACCAGACAAAUAUAAACACAAGAUCCUCUAAGUAAACCAAGUCUCAUUAUGAGCCUAAUAGGGAGUUGAGUUGUUUUGGUCAUGAGAAAAAGUCCUGUUACUGUGACCGGAAUCAAUUACCCUGGGAUUGGAAGUGGUUUGGUAGACAAGGCCUGUAGCCAUUGUGUGAUGACAGGAUGUGUGGCCUGUAGAUCUGAAGAUUCUCUCCACAGCCAUGUAAUGCACAGUGACAGUUUGAAAAACCGAUUGAGUGCAGGCCGAGUGAUUGCGAACGUUUUAAUGUCUGCUGCUACUCUUAGUUAGCAUCACUGAAAUUCUCAUUGUCAACCAAACUCAUUGAAGAAAUCAGUUAAAGAGGCAAAUCUUGUCAA